GACGAACGCUGGCGGCGUGCCUAAUACAUGCAAGUAGAACGCUGAAGGAGGAGCUUGCUCUUCUGGAUGAGUUGCGAACGGGUGAGUAACGCGUAGGUAACCUGCCUGGUAGCGGGGGAUAACUAUUGGAAACGAUAGCUAAUACCGCAUAACAGUAGAUGUUGCAUGACAUUUGCUUAAAAGGUGCAAUUGCAUCACUACCAGAUGGACCUGCGUUGUAUUAGCUAGUUGGUGGGGUAACGGCUCACCAAGGCGACGAUACAUAGCCGACCUGAGAGGGUGGUCGGCCACACUGGGACUGAGACACGGCCCAGACGCCUACGGGAGGCAGCAGUAGGGAAUCUUCGGCGAUGGACGGAAGUCUGACCGAGCAACGCCGCGUGAGUGAAGAAGGUUUUCGGAUCGUAAAGCUCUGUUGUAAGAGAAGAACGAGUGUGAGAGUGGAAAGUUCACACUGUGACGAUAUCUUACCAGAAAGGGACGGCUAACUACGUG
rnacentral:rRNA from 1 species